GCGGCCCGGCCGCUCGCUUUGAUCCGCCAGUUCCUCCUGGUGCCAGAGGCUGAGAGCUGAAGGAAUGAGUGUCCUGGAAGGAGCAGUGGCCGAGAGAGCUGCCACCUCCCACGCUUUUUGGGAGAGUAAAACGCGAAACGUGGCUGUUUUGUGCAUGCGUGAUGCGGAGGACUUCUCUAAGCACGUCUUCAUGUGGGUUCUGGAGAGAAGGCUGCUGGAGGAAGGAAGGACAUACCAGCAUUGCAGAGCCUGGAAGGACCGGAAAGUGGAAGCCUCGACUUGACGCUGAAGCCCAGGAUGGAAUGUGAAGAGGGACUGAGUGUGUCUACGAGUUCCAUUUGUGGUGGUGGCAAUGUCUUCCUAGUUUUAGCUCCCGUAGUCUGGUCUCCAAACCUGCAAUACAUAACACUUUCCUGUUUA